GAGGGUAUAGCUCAAUGGUAGACUGCAUGCAUGCCUGGCAUGCACAAGGUCCUGGGUUCAAUCCCCAGUACAAUCA
rnacentral:tRNA from 1 species